rfam:Camelus ferus unplaced genomic scaffold scaffold436, whole genome shotgun sequence.
GGGGGCACAGCUCAGUGGCAGAGUGAGUGCUUGGUGUGCACGAGGUCCUGGGUUCAAUCCCCAGUGCCUCUG